rnacentral:tRNA from 1 species
GCGGAUGUGGCGGAACUGGCAGACGCGCUGGACUUAGGAUCCAGUGUCUCACGACGUGCAGGUUCGACCCCUGUCAUCCGCACCA